rnacentral:rRNA from 1 species
CGCUGGCGGCAUGCUAACACAUGCAAGUCGAACGAGACUUCGGGUCUAGUGGCGCACGGGUGCGUAACGCGUGGGAAUCUGCCCUUGGGUUCGGGAUAACAGUUGGAAACGACUGCUAAUACCGGAUGAUGACUUCGGUCCAAAGAUUUAUCGCCCAGGGAUGAGCCCGCGUAGGAUUAGCUAGUUGGUGAGGUAAAGGCUCACCAAGGCGACGAUCCUUAGCUGGUCUGAGAGGAUGAUCAGCCACACUGGGACUGAGACACGGCCCAGACUCCUACGGGAGGCAGCAGUGGGGAAUAUUGGACAAUGGGCGAAAGCCUGAUCCAGCAAUGCCGCGUGAGUGAUGAAGGCCUUAGGGUUGUAAAGCUCUUUUACCCGGGAUGAUAAUGACAGUACCGGGAGAAUAAGCCCCGGCUAACUCCGUGCCAGCAGCCGCGGUAAUACGAACCGUCCAAACGUUAUUCGGAAUUACUGGGCUUAAAGGGUUCGUAGGCGGCCUUGUAAGUGGGGUGUGAAAUCCCUCGGCUCAACCGAGGAAUAGCACUCCAAACUGAAGGCUUGAGGGAGACAGGGGUAAGCGGAACUGAUGGUGGAGCGGUGAAAUGCGUAGAUAUCGAGAGGAACACCUGCGGGAAGGCGGGUUGCUGGGCCGACAACUGACGGCUGAUGCGCGAAAGCCAGGGGAGCGAACGGGAUUAGAUACCCCGGUA